UGCGGCAGCGAACGUAUCACCCAAGACAACUUUACGGAGUUGACGAUUGACGGAGCGAAGCGACGUCAAAGCGUUCAUUAAAGUCGAGUUGGCUUAGGGAUACGUUCGUUGGGUAGGGGAGCGUUCUGUAAGCCUGUGAAGGUGUGUCGUGAGGCAUGCUGGAGGUAUCAGAAGUGCGAAUGCUGACAUAAGUAACGAUAAAGCGGGUGAAAAGCCCGCUCGCCGGAAGACCAAGGGUUCCUGUCCAACGUUAAUCGGGGCAGGGUGAGUCGACCCCUAAGGCGAGGCCGAAAGGCGUAGUCGAUGGGAAACGGGUUAAUAUUCCCGUACUUGGUGUUACUGCGAAGGGGGGACGGAGAAGGCUAUGUUGGCCGGGCGACGGUUGUCCCGGUUUAAGCGUGUAGGUGUGUGUUCCAGGUAAAUCCGGUUCACUUUAACACUGAGGCGUGACGACGAGGCACUACGGUGCUGAAGCAACAAAUGCCCUGCUUCCAGGAAAAGCCUCUAAGCAUCAGGUAACACGAAAUCGUACCCCAAACCGACACAGGUGGUCAGGUAGAGAAUACCAAGGCGCUUGAGAGAACUCGGGUGAAGGAACUAGGCAAAAUGGUGCCGUAACUUCGGGAGAAGGCACGCUGACACGUAGGUGAAGUGAUUUACUCAUGGAGCUGAAGUCAGUCGAAG
rnacentral:rRNA from 1 species